GAUGAAGAACGCAGCGAAAUGCGAUAAGUAAUGUGAAUUGCAGAAUUCAGUGAAUCAUCGAAUCUUUGAACGCACCUUGCGCUCCUUGGUAUUCCGAGGAGCAUGCCUGUUUGAGUGUCAUGAAAUUCUCAACCUUUUCAGCUUUCUUUGUUGAUCAGGCUUGGAUGUGGGAGUAUGCGGGCUUCUCAGAAGUCGGCUCUCCUGAAAUGCAUUAGCGGGACCUUUGUUGCCUGGCUUUGGUGUGAUAAUUAUCUACGCCAUUGUAGUCAAGCAGCUUAAAAUGAGGUUUCAGCUUCUAACCGUCUCCCCUGAGACAACUUUUUGACAAUUUGACCUCAAAUCAGGCAGGACUACCCGCUGAACUUAAGCAUAUCAAUAAGCGGAGGA
rnacentral:misc_RNA from 1 species